rnacentral:lncRNA from 1 species
AUCAUCUAAGUGCUGAGGCAGAAGCUCCAAUGAGGACUCUAAUUUCUGUCUCCCUGGAGGUUGCAACAGAAAGAGUGGAGGGUGAAUUGAAACUGACCCCAGUGUAGUAAAGAAGUCCUACAUGGUAGAGAUCUUGAAAAGGAAUCUGUACAUUCUAAAAGCCCUAGUAGGCCUACAGGUUUGACGAGUGUAAAGAGACUAUAUUCAGUGUGGCUUGUUGAUAGUUGGAGAUGGAGACUAUAGAGGAGGGUGGGGAAGAAGGAUGGGGACACAGAACCUAAAUCUGCAGAGUAUAGUGGGCCAAGGCCAAGAGCAGAAUUGCCUUACAUCCCCGUAAGAGCCACCCAGAAAUAUUAGACAAGAGAGACAAGCAAAUCCCUGUGUAAGCAUUGCUGUAGCGGCUCUGCAGAGAAUCAACUACAGAAGAGCAAGAAUGUACAGGAGUUUGCACUGGGUGUUACUGAAUCAGCUCAGGUGGCAUGAUCCAAACUCUCUUUGGCCAGAUUUUCCAAAUAUGAUGUGUAUGCUGUGUGUGACAAGAUGCCCUGAUGAGAACACAUUAGAAUGCCUGCAGCAGCACCAUGAUACCCACACUAAGUGGGAUAAAUGGAGACUAUUGACGGACAUGCAGCAAGUUGGGUCAGAUGUCUUUGUCAAAUGAAAUCUGACCCAGGUGGGUUUGGCCUCCAAAUGAGUGGCCAAAAAAAUUGAGGCGAUGAUACAGUUUGAAUUUUGGGAUUGUGACGAAAGCAUAAUCCAAUAUCCCCCACUGUUCUAUUUUCCUGGUCCUGGUUCCUGGUGUGUGUGUGUGUGUGUGUGUGUGUGUGUGUGUGUGUGUGUGUGUGUGUGUGGUGUUUGCAUGUACAUGUGUAUAUGCAUGUACAUGUAAAGAUCAGAGUUCAAUGUAUGCCUUCCUCACUUAGUAUCCACACUACUCUUUGAGACAGUCUCCCAUUUUACAAAGACUAGGCUGGGUGGCAGACAAUCCCUAGGGUUCUUCCUAUCUCUGCCUCUCCAGUGCUACAUGUAUAAGCCUACAUCCUCAUGUCUGGUGUUUUUACAUGGGUGAUCUGAAAUCAGGUAAACAACUCUCUUUUUUUCUCCUUUAGGGGACUGCACACACCCCCAUUGGAAGAAACCUAUGUAGUGUUUAAACAAUAGGCCUCCUGUUAAUGUUAUAUUUCUCUGAACAUUACACAUGAUUUCUAUGGCUUCUUCCCUCUUCUCCCACCUCUGCCAUCUCUGGAAAAAAGCCGGUGCCUAACUUUAACUCACAAUCCAUGAAAAAAAAUUAACCCUUUGUAAAUGUAUGUGAACAAAUAGGAUAUGCUUCUGUGUAUGGAGAAUCUUUUCCACAUAGUAGGAAGUGAAUGUUUGGGUUAGUUAAAGGACAAGCGAGUUUACUCUUACUGAUUCCUUAGGUUGUCAGCCAUCACCAACAAAGAAACUUAAGUUUUACCAAUGCUUCCAGGACCUGAUAAAGACUCUCACUUUUUAUUCUCCUUAACUGACUGAAGUAAAUGUUUCUUGUUGGAAAAUUUUCUAGAUCAAGAUUUCUGAGUCUCUAAAGACCAGAGUCUGUAGUGAUG